UGGCUCCGAUAAUGGAAUGGAUUAAGCCAGAUACCGAUACUCUAGGACUCGAAAGAGAUUCGCUAGGGAGGCGUUGUGAUAGGGCAGAAGCUGGGGCGUGAGUUCCAGUGGACCUGUCAGAAUUGUAGAUCCUGCCGGGAGUAACAGCAAAGUGGGGUUAGAAUCCCCAUCGCCGAAAGGGCCAGGAUUCCUCAGCAAUGUUCGUCAACUGAGGGUUAGUCGAUCCUAAGGCUCUUCGUAACUCGAUUGAGCCGAAAGGGAAACCCGUUAAUAUUCGGGUACCGUAAAGAUACACGCGGCAACGCAAGUUCUUUCCUUGACACUUCGGAGUACGCUGAGUGGAACCAUCGUUCCAUCUAACUAUAUAAUUCCAUGGAGAUGCUUAAUGCAGAGAAGUGGAAGAAAUUAGGAAUGGCCUGACGUUUUAGUCGGGUUCGGCCGAUCUCUGGAGUCCGUGAAAAGAGGAUAGAAAUGAAUUCUUUAUGUUCGUACUGAGAUCCGACACAGGUGCCCCUUGGUGAGAAGCCUAAGGCGUGUUGGGAUACUCCAGUUAAGGGAACUCGGCAAAAUAGCUCCGUAACUUUGGGAUAAGGAGUGCGUACUGUCUUUAAUCGGACGGUACGUCUCAGUAACUUGAGGGCUUCGACUGUUUAAUAAAAACACAGCUAGCUGCUAUCCUGUAAAGGUUUGUACAGCUGGUGACAUCUGCUCAGUGCCGGCACGUUAAUCCCGGUUCCAACCGGGUGAAGCGCCGGUAAACGGCGGGAGUAACUAUAACUCUCUUAAGGUAGCGUAAUACCUUGCCGCUUAAUUGGCGGCUUGCAUGAAUGGUGUAACGAGAGCCCUACUGUCCCUAACUGGAACCUAGUGAAACCACUUCCUGGUGAAUAUGCCAGGGUCCCCCGAUGGGAAGCGAAGACCCCAUGGAGUUUUACUGCAGCCUGUCGUUGUUGCUUGGACUUUGAUGUAGAGCGUAGUUGGUAGCCAUCGAAGCAAUCUCGCUAGGGAUUGUGGAGGCGCAAAUGGAACACCAACCUUCCAAGUCUAAGCAACUAACCAACAUUGUUAUUGUUGGGACACCGGUAGGUGGGCAGUUUGGCUGGGGCGGUACGCCCUCGAGAAGAUAUCGAGGGCGCCCUAAGGUUGACUCAGGUGGGUCAGGAAUCCACCGUAGAGGGCAAGGCCAAAAGUCAGCCUGACUGGAUAUUGCACCACAAGAUAUCCAGAGGCGAAAGCCGGGCCUAGCGAACUCCAAUGCCUCCUUGAUGGGGGCUUGGACUAACAGAAAAACUACCCUGGGGAUAACUGAGUCGUCCGGGGCAAGAGCCCACAUCGACCCCCGGGCUUGCUACCUCGCUGUCGGUUCUUUCCAUCCUGGGUCUGCAGCAGGACCCAAGGGUGGGGUUGUUCGCCCAUUAAAGGAGAACGUGAGCUGGGUUUAGACCGUCGUGAGACAGGUUAGUUGCUAUCUAUCGGGGGUGUUGGUCGUCUGAAGGGAAGGUAGUCCCAGUACGAGAGGAACUGACUGCCGUGGCCUCUGGUGUGCCGGUUGUCUGAUAAGGCAUCGCCGGGUAGCUACGCCAUAGUUAAUAAGGGCUGAAAGCAUCUAAGCCCGAAAUAAUCCCUGAAAAUAGACAACCACUCUCUAAUAGCAAAAGGGGAUAGGUGACUAUAACUUUAGUUAGAGACGAAGACACGGAUAGAAGAUCCGGUUGAUAGGUCGGUAGUGUAAGUGCCAAGCCUUCGGGCGAGGUAUUCAGCUUACCGAUACUAAUAGUCUAAGGUUCAUUAU
rnacentral:rRNA from 1 species